GACGAACGCUGGCGGCGUGCUUAACACAUGCAAGUCGAACGGAAAGGCCCUGCUUGCAGGGUACUCGAGUGGCGAACGGGUGAGUAACACGUGGGUGAUCUGCCCUGCACUUCGGGAUAAGCCUGGGAAACUGGGUCUAAUACCGGAUAGGAGCCAUUUUUAGUGUGAUGGUUGGAAAGUUUUUUCGGUGUAGGAUGAGCUCGCGGCCCAUCAGCUUGUUGGUGGGGUAAUGGCCUACCAAGGCGGCGACGGGUAGCCGGCCUGAGAGGGUGGACGGCCACAUUGGGACUGAGAUACGGCCCAGACUCCUACGGGAGGCAGCAGUGGGGAAUAUUGCACAAGGGGCGCAAGCCUGAUGCAGCGACGCCGCGUGGGGGAUGACGGCCUUCGGGUUGUAAACUCCUUUCGCUAGGGACGAAGCUUUUUGUGACGGUACCUAGAUAAGAAGCACCGGCUAACUACGUG
rnacentral:rRNA from 1 species